CACUCUACGGGAGGCAGCAGUGGGGAAUUUUGGACAAUGGGCGAAAGCCUGAUCCAGCAAUGCCGCGUGUGUGAAGAAGGCCUUCGGGUUGUAAAGCACUUUUGUCCGGAAAGAAAUCCUUGGCUCUAAUACAGUCGGGGGAUGACGGUACCGGAAGAAUAAGCACCGGCUAACUACGUGCCAGCAGCCGCGGUAAUACGUAGGGUGCGAGCGUUAAUCGGAAUUACUGGGCGUAAAGCGUGCGCAGGCGGUUUGCUAAGACCGAUGUGAAAUCCCCGGGCUCAACCUGGGAACUGCAUUGGUGACUGGCAGGCUAGAGUAUGGCAGAGGGGGGUAGAAUUCCACGUGUAGCAGUGAAAUGCGUAGAGAUGUGGAGGAAUACCGAUGGCGAAGGCAGCCCCCUGGGCCAAUACUGACGCUCAUGCACGAAAGCGUGGGGAGCAAACAGGAUUAGAUACCCGAGUAGUCCCAUG
rnacentral:rRNA from 1 species